rnacentral:rRNA from 1 species
UCUGGCAGGACAUAUUAAUCUUAAGAUACAAUAGUCAAACGCCCGAUCUUGUCUGAUCUCGGAAGCUAAGCAGGGUCGGGCCUGGUUAGUACUUGGAUGAGAGACCGCCUGGGAAUACCGGGUGCUGUAGGCU